UAUGUUAAAUCUCGCUUGAACAGUUGC
rnacentral:sRNA from 1 species